GACGAACGCUGGCGGCGUGCCUAAUACAUGCAAGUCGAACGCUUCUUUUUCAUCGAACUUCGGUUCACCGAAAAAGAAGAGUGGCGAACGGGUGAGUAACACGUGGGUAACCUACCCAUCAGCGGGGGAUAACACUUGGAAACAGGUGCUAAUACCGCAUAAUCUUUUUCUCCGCCUGGAGAGAAAGUGAAAGGCGCUUUUGCGUCACUGAUGGAUGGACCCGCGCUGCAUUAGCUAGUUGGUGAGGUAACGGCUCACCAAGGCCACGAUGCAUAGCCGACCUGAGAGGGUGAUCGGCCACACUGGGACUGAGACACGGCCCAG
rnacentral:rRNA from 1 species